AGGCAGGAGAUGAAUGUUGCAGUGAAUGGAACGGCUGAAGUACAGCACCCCUGGGUCCACAGCCCCUUCAAUGACGAACCCCAGAGCCUGUCUUCAUCAGUCAGGAGACAUCUGAGGCAUCUGAACAGGGGACAGGCAUCAUCAGAUGUGGAUUUAGAAAAGCUCUGGUAAUUGUUUGCUCCAACAAUGAUGGAUGGAGUGUGGAGGCUUUAAAAGCAGAACGCUUGCAGUAGGAUAACAGGAGGAGAUAUUACUGCCUGCGUGUUUUAGCCAGCGGCCAACAAAAGGGGACUAAAGUAUCUUGCCCAGAAUUGUCACCAGCUCAACCUACUUGGAAUUGCAGGACUCCCAGCACUGGUUCAGCUCUGUGCCUCUCAGAGUACGCCUGCCUUUCAUUAUGUGUGAAAUUCAAUGGAAUAAAAGUGGCUGCAAGCAUAGCA